GACGAACGCUGGCGGCGUGCCUAAUACAUGCAAGUCGAACGGUCUUUUCUAUGGAAGCUUGCUUCCGCUGAGAAGAUAGUGGCGAACGGGUGAGUAACACGUGGGUAACCUGCCCAUAAGAGGGGGAUAACAUCCGGAAACGGGUGCUAAUACCGCAUAGUUUUCUUGAUCGCAUGAUUGAGAAAGGAAAGACGGCCUUUGUGCUGUCGCUUAUGGAUGGACCCGCGGCGUAUUAGUUAGGGGGUUGUGAGGUAACGGCUCACCAAGACGAUGAUACGUAGCCGACCUGAGAGGGUGAUCGGCCACAUUGGGACUGAGACACGGCCCAAACUCCUACGGGAGGCAGCAGUAGGGAAUCUUCCGCAAUGGACGAAAGUCUGACGGAGCAACGCCGCGUGAGUGAAGAAGGUUUUCGGAUCGUAAAACUCUGUUGUCAGAGAAGAACAAGUUGGAGAGUAACUGCUCCAGCCUUGACGGUAUCUGACCAGAAGCCACGGCUAACU
rnacentral:rRNA from 1 species